rfam:Roseisalinus antarcticus strain CECT 7023 genome assembly, contig: 0098
GUUAGGUGUAGGCGCAGCGAAAGCGAGUCUUAAUAGGGCGCAUGAGUUCGUGGGAUCAGACCCGAAACCGAGUGAUCUAGGCAUGACCAGGAUGAAGGUAAGGUAACACUUACUGGAGGUCCGAACCCACACCUGUUGAAAAAGGUCGGGAUGAGUUGUGCCUAGGGGUGAAAGGCCAAUCAAACUCGGAGAUAGCUGGUUCUCUGCGAAAUCUAUUUAGGUAGAGCGUCAUCCGAAUACCCUCGGGGGUAGAGCACUGGAUGGGUAAUGGGGCCCCACAGGCUUACUGAUCCUAACCAAACUCCGAAUACCGAGGAGUACUAGAUGGCAGACACACGGCGGGUGCUAACGUCCGUCGUGGAGAGGGAAACAACCCUGACCUACAGCUAAGGCCCCUAAUUCAUGGCUAAGUGGGAAAGCAGGUGGGACGACCAAAACAACCAGGAGGUUGGCUUAGAAGCAGCCAUCCUUUAAAGAUAGCGUAACAGCUCACUGGUCUAAACAAGUUGUCCUGCGGCGAAGAUGUAACGGGGCUCAAGCCAUGAGCCGAAGCUUAGGAUGCACAUAGUGCAUGGUAGCAGAGCGUAGUGUGACAUAAUUCCAUGUCUCUACGCCAAUUCUCAGGAAUUGGCUGGGAGACGCGGAGUUUUCUGUGAAGCCGGGGCGUGAGCCAUCCGGUGGAGAGAUCACUAGCGAGAAUGAUGACAUGAGUAGCGAUAAACAGGGUGAGAGACCCUGUCGCCGAAAGUCCAAGGGUUCCUGCUUAAAGCUAAUCUGAGCAGGGUAAGCCGACCCCUAAGGCGAGGCCGAAAGGCGUAGUCGAUGGGAACCAGGUUAAUAUUCCUGGGCCAUGUGGUGGUGACGGAUCUCGAGGGUAGUUCAUCCUUAUCGGAUUGAAUGGGCUGCUUAGAGGUCCCUGGAAAUAGCCCCACUGUAAGAUCGUACCCUAAACCGACACAGGUGGACUGGUAGAGAAUACCAAGGCGCUUGAGAGAACGAUGUUGAAGGAACUCGGCAAAAUACCUCCGUAAGUUCGCGAGAAGGAGGCCCCGUUAGGACGCAAGUCUUGGCGGGGGGCACAAACCAGGGGGUGGCGACUGUUUACUAAAAACACAGGGCUCUGCGAAGUCGCAAGACGACGUAUAGGGUCUGACGCCUGCCCGGUGCUGGAAGGUUAAAAGGAGGAGUGCAAGCUCCGAAUUGAAGCCCCAGUAAACGGCGGCCGUAACUAUAACGGUCCUAAGGUAGCGAAAUUCCUUGUCGGGUAAGUUCCGACCUGCACGAAUGGCGUAACGACUUCCCCGCUGUCUCCAACAUCGACUCAGCGAAAUUGAAUUGCCUGUCAAGAUGCAGGCUUCCCGCGGUUAGACGGAAAGACCCCAUGAACCUUUACUAUAGCUUCACACUGGCAUCAGGCCAAGCAUGUGCAGGAUAGGUGGUAGGCUUUGAAGCAGGGACGCCAGUCCUUGUGGAGCCAUCCUUGAGAUACCACCCUUGCUUUGCUUGAUGUCUAACCGCGGCCCGUUAUCCGGGUCCGGGACCCUGUGUGGUGGGUAGUUUGACUGGGGCGGUCGCCUCCCAAACAGUAACGGAGGCGCGCGAAGGUUGGCUCAGACCGGUCGGAAAUCGGUCGUUGAGUGCAAUGGCAGAAGCCAGCCUGACUGCAAGACUGACAAGUCGAGCAGAGACGAAAGUCGGCCAUAGUGAUCCGGUGGUCCCGAGUGGAAGGGCCAUCGCUCAACGGAUAAAAGGUACUCUGGGGAUAACAGGCUGAUGGUGCCCAAGAGUCCAUAUCGACGGCACCGUUUGGCACCUCGAUGUCGGCUCAUCUCAUCCUGGGGCUGGAGCAGGUCCCAAGGGUAUGGCUGUUCGCCAUUUAAAGAGGUACGUGAGCUGGGUUUAGAACGUCGUGAGACAGUUCGGUCCCUAUCUGCCGUGGGUGUAGGAUACUUGAGAGGAGUUGCCCCUAGUACGAGAGGACCGGGGUGAACGGACCACUGGUGGACCUGUUGUGGCGCCAGCCGCAGUGCAGGGUAGCUAUGUUCGGAAAGGAUAACCGCUGAAGGCAUCUAAGCGGGAAGCCCCCCUCAAAACAAGGUAUCCCUGAGGACCGUGGUAGACUACCACGUCGAUAGGCCGGAGAUGUAAGCGCGGCAACGCGCUCAGUUGACCGGUACUAAUUGUCCGAUAGGCUUGAUUUG